rnacentral:lncRNA from 1 species
AUGCUGUGCAGAGCACAAUCCGGCGGGUCCAGCAGGCGGGAUGACCAGACUGCGUCCGGGCCUCCUUCACGCCCCGGCUGGCCACCGAGGGUGUCUCUGAGCCCAGGCCCCGGAGGCGGCGUAGGGGAGGGUGGCAAGGGCAAGGGCCCCGGGGCAGGAGGAGCCGAGAAGCCAACAGCCAGGGCUGCCAGGCCGACUGCUGCUGGGCCCAGGAGACAGGGCAGAGGGCCCAGGCCGCCUGAGGGCCUCACACAGCCUCCCACGCUCAUAUGCACACCACACGCCACCCCCACCACCACACACCACACACACCACACACACGGCAGACACCACAGACACCACCACACACAACACACACACCCCACACACAGCAGACACCAAAGACACCACCACACACCACACACACCACCACACACCACCACAUACCACACACACCACCAUGUACCACACGCACGGCAGACACCAAAGACACCAUCACACACCACACACACCACACACACCACCACACACCACGCUCACGGCAGACACAUCACACACCACACACACCACUACGUACCACACACACGGCAGACACCAAAGACACCACCACACACCACACACACCUCACACACCACCACAUACCACACACCACCAUGUACCACACACACGGCAGACACCACAGACACUACAGAUAUUCACACACCACACACACCACACAGCAGACACCACAGACACACCACACACAUCAGACAUACCACCACAUAUCACACACACAGCAGACACCACAGACACCACAUACACCACACACACCACCACAUAUCACACACACCACAGACAUUCACAUGCAACACACACCACACGCAUCACAUACAUUCACAAACCACACACAUCAACACACCGCCACAUACCACACACACUGCAGACACCACAGGCACCAUAGAUAUUCACACACCACACACAUCACCACACACACCACACACAUCACACACAAUCACAAACCAAACACACUACCACAUACCACACUCACUGCAGAUACCACAGACACACCACACACCACACACACCACCACAUACCACACACGACACCAAACACACAUACAACCACACACAUACAUGGAACAUAGACACCACACAUACCACACGCACAUACACACACACAGACCACACAUACACCAUAUGUACCACACACAUCACACACAUUCACAAACCACACACAUCACCACAUACUACACAAACCACACAUUCACAAACCACACAUAUCACACACACCACACACACUACACACGUCACACAGCCCACCACACACCACACACACCAGCACAUACCACACAUACCACAGACUCCACAGACACCACAGACAUUCACAUACCACACACAUCACACACAUCACACAUAUCACACACACCACCACAUACCACACACACAACAUACAACACCAAACACACAUAUGGCCACAGACAUACACGCAACACAGACACCACACACAUUCCCACACCACCGACACCACCACAACACACACCAUACACACUACACACCAUAUACACUACAGACACCACACAUACCACAACACAACACACACCACACAAAUACCACACCACACACAUACCCCACAGAUACCACACAAACACACCACACAUCAAACACCACACGCAUACCACACAUACCACAUGCACACCACAUACCACACACACAUUGCACACCACACUCACAUACCACAUACACAACACACCAUGGACACCAUAUACCACCAUGCACCACAAACAGACACACCAUCACACACCACACAUAG